GGGACCUUGGAGAAGAGACCCAUCCAGACAGUGACUUAGAAUCCAUGAGUGAAGGUAGAGCAAGGAACUGGCAAGGAGGUCCCCUAAGGACAGAGCUCCACUUCCCACCUUGCCAGCCACAAUAGUAUAGGUGCCCAAGCAACACCUCCUAAGUGGAACUGCAAAGUUUGCUUCCUGACCCUGGAGAUACACAAAGAAGGCGGUGUUAUGCUUUAUCAAAGGAUUCUUUCUUGGAUUUCCCAAAAUAGCCAGCUCCCCUUAUAUAAUCGAUAGGAUUAAAGUGACGUGAAAUCCUUUUCAAUCACCAUUUAGGGACAGUUACUGUGCAAUGAGAGCAAGCAACUUCAAAAUUUCUUUCGACCUGAAAACCUGAAGUCCUCUGAGGUUUGCAAAGGAUCCAACACUCCACAAGUAUCAGGGGCCUCUGCUUUCAGGAAUAUGAAGAAGAAAACACAAUGGCUGCCUUCGAGACAACAAUUAGAGCACUAUAAAUGACACAUUGACCAGAGAAUCAAGGGCUGCAUUUUUGGAUCAGACUCAGUGCAGGGGAAGAAACAGGAAAGGAUCUUACUGGAGCUGGUGUUUGGUGAAAAGCCAGGGCCGGAAUGGGUCUAGGGCAGACCCGACCACACCAUGUGCCUGGCAAAGAAGUGGCUGAAAACUGAGCUGGCAUCACAGAUCCUGGGAGAAUCCAGAUUUGUUCCUGAGAUUUCCUCGGGCUGGCAGGGAUCAGCAAACAACUCCACUCCCUCAGAAGGAGCAACUCAGCUGCUCUUCUAAGGAGCACAGGCCCCUCUCCAUCCUGUCCACUGCAACAGGGAGCUGCUGCCCACUCACCCACCUAUCAAUGCUUAGCCCAUCUCUUCAGGAAGCAGGAAGCCUGGCGGAGCCCUGGCAUGCCGUCAGGGCUGGUGGGUGACAUUCUGGGGCCCUCACAGCCAGGAGGAAUCGAAGCUGUGGCCACAGCCUCAUCAGAACGCUGUGACUCCUGUGCGAAGCUGAGGGGAGGUUGCUGGCAGUUGGGGCUGGGGAUAGAGUAGGCAAGCCUGGGCUCCCCUUCCCCUCGCUUAUCUGUCUUAUAAACCAACCGAGCCUAAAACACCACUUAAAUAAAGGAUUCUGAGACUAAAAAAACUAUUUCAAUCCCACGGCUCCAGCCCUCCUCCAAGAUGUCCCUAUGUAAUCACGCUGUCCUUCUCUGGAUGUCUGGCACUGUGUUCCAUUAGCACUUAAUUACAUUAUACAUAUAUAUAUACUUGGGGCUCAGGACACACCACCCUAAAAUAUGACUGUUUGAGACCAGAAUAUGCCACCCCAAAAUAUACUUUGGCAUAUUCUGAGUUAGUUAUUCCAAGAAACUGCAGACACAGAAGUAGCUCUGAAAAGCUGCCCUUUUAUAAAACAAAUUUCCUUUU